rnacentral:rRNA from 1 species
CCUACGGGAGGCAGCAGUGAGGAAUAUUGGUCAAUGGACGAGAGUCUGAACCAGCCAAGUAGCGUGAAGGAUUACUGCCCUAUGGGUUGUAAACUUCUUUUAUAUGGGAAUAAAAUGUUCCACGUGUGGGAUUUUGUAUGUACCAUAUGAAUAAGGAUCGGCUAACUCCGUGCCAGCAGCCGCGGUAAUACGGAGGAUCCGAGCGUUAUCCGGAUUUAUUGGGUUUAAAGGGAGCGUAGGUGGAUUGUUAAGUCAGUUGUGAAAGUUUGCGGCUCAACCGUAAAAUUGCAGUUGAAACUGGCAGUCUUGAGUACAGUAGAGGUGGGCGGAAUUCGUGGUGUAGCGGUGAAAUGCUUAGAUAUCACGAAGAACUCCGAGUGCGAAGGCAGUUCACUGGACUGCAACUGACACUGAGGCUCGAAAGUGUGGGUAUCAAACAGGAUUAGAUACCCUUGUAGUC